GUUUUUUUUCUUUUUGCGAAACGUUUAUUUCUAUAAAAACAAUGAGGGUGACAGCUAAACUUCCCAUCGGAAGCCUUCUUAAUUUAGGAGCAUAAUUCACAAUGACAGUUUAACAAACGGGCAGCUUUUAGAGAUCAAACUGAGCAUAGGGCAGCACCUCCUUUCAUGAUGCUUGCUUUCUAACCCCCGGACCGAUGAGCAACUUUGCAAGGCUGUUACCCGGGCACCUUGUGUGAAGACAGCCCAACCACAGAGAAUCCCUAUUGCAAGAGCACUCCAGUGUGUCAGAAAUGCAAGCCCGUUUCAGGUGCGUUGAGGCAGAGUCAGUGAAAAAACCAGGAGCUUAAUUCUGUAUUUUGGCUGGCUUUUUGUUCCUCGUCCCUGGCCCCAGUGGGCACUCUGCAUAUGGAUGUUCAGCACUUUUGAAAUCGGGCCACUUACAGAGGAGCCUAAAUAUGGAAUUAUGAGCUUAAAUUUAAAUCUUGGCCCUGCCGUACUCAGAGCGGUCUAAAAACUAGCGUGGCAUAAGCCGGGCCUCUCGUAACCGAAUCUUCACAAUGUACUUGAAGCGGUGCCAUCCAAGUGCUUACAGAAGAACAGAAAGUACCAAAGCUGGUGUCUCUUGAAAGGAUCCUUCCCUAAUCACAACCUUAUGACUUGCAGCUGAAUGUUUUGCUGUGUGUUUUGGCUCGCUGCUAAAAACAAAAAUGCCCAUCGGUCUCUCCAUGCAAGCAAGGCUCGCAUCUCCCAAAGCUGUUCCCAGAGAGCAAAAAUGUAGAUGAAGCUUUCCAUACUGCCUGCCUCGUCUCGGCGCUGUAGAGCCAAAGGAUUUGUGUGUGUGUUUAUAGCAAAGCCCGUCUGAUAGAGGGACGUUUAGAGACGCGUUCAGGGGGAUUCUGGGCUGGACUGUUUGCAUUGCUGUAAUACCUGGAGAGCCCGGCUGUGACGGGGGGGCCCUUCCUGCCAGACAGGGCAUCAUUCUCUGCCCCAAAGAGCUUACAGUGACAGGGAGCUGGCUUAUUUCGGAGCCAUCUCAGGUUGUAUUGAACUGCCCCUGGAGAAAACAAAGACGCCUAAAGUCUGGCAGAGGCUCAGUCAGCUAUGCAAGAAGAAAUACGGGAGCACAGCAGCAUCCAAGCCAGAUGUUGACAGAGGCAGGGAGAGAAUUGGGAGGCUGGUGCUGUGCGAGGGGUCAGCGUUUCUCCCCGUCUUAGCUCUGUGCCUUCCGGAGAGUGAUAUGAAGAAGCUGGGGAGCAGCAUUGUCGCGAGGCAGGGACCCUGCCAGCGGCGUUGCAGCGAAGCUGCUGACAACAUUUCUCAGGACUGGGCUCCAGGCUGCUCAGACGACUUCUGCUCCGGGUUGCCUUCAGCUCUUUACAGCCUGCAGCAAGUUGAGGGUGGGCAUUUGUUCGCAGCUCAAGGCUGGUUUGACUUUUAAGCACGCAUUUCUCAAGGGGGCAUUGGGCAUCAGAAGUAUUUCAAAGGAUUGAGGAGGAGGAAAUAGGUGGUUUCAGGCAUGCUCUGUGUAACCUGAAGUUGUCUGUUCUGCAAGGAGGCAGGCAUUUGUUACCUGACUUGAACCCCCGUCCUGGGGGUUGAGCUGCACCGUGCAUCUAAUAAUAAAAUGUUAGCAACUUG